GUCUACAGCCAUGUGCCACCCUGAACAAGCCCGAUGUCUGAUCUCGGAAGCUAAGCGGGUCGGGCCUGGUUAGUACUUGGAUGGGAGACCACCUAGGAAGACCAGGUGCUGUAGGCA
rnacentral:rRNA from 1 species